GGAACUGCCAACUGCUUUCCAAAGCGACAGUGGAGAUUCUGUUUUUUAAGAAUCAGAUCCACGAAUUUUGGAUAUGUCACACGAUUGACUUUUUCUUCCUUUUCAACAGCUACAGAUUUCAAUGAGGACAAUAAAGGAGCAUAAGAUCGAGAGCAGGUUUCACUGAGCACGGCUUCUUCAUCAAAGAAGAUUAUGUCAACAAUAUUUUAUGACUCCUGAUACUGUAACUUGAAAAAGUAAAUAGUGAAAGUACUCCGGAUAUGUUGGAAGUUCUUUUGCAACCUGGAGAAUACCUGAGAAGAGUCACUGCCACUGUGGUACAGAAACUGUAUGCCAAUUCAGUUGGCAUGCAGGGAGUAAUUGAAUUGACCUGGAUAUAUGGAAUCUUGGGUGGAGAGAGUGAAUGAUGAGAAAACUAUGAGAAAAUCUCUUGGGCUUGCUUCAGAGGCUGCUGUGUGCAGAACAGAGAGAGAAGGUGGUAGCUUACUCUGGUCCUCAGGGCAACAGCCAUUGCAUGGAGGAAGAAAAGAGGGGCUGUGGCCAGUCCUGAAUCUGGGAAGGUGUUGUCCAGAAUUCCUGACCACCACAGAACAUCCCUUCCUGAUGUGUGAGGUGGAGCUAUGUGGCCUGAGUUAGGGGCAAUGGUUUCAGAAAGCUGAAGUGGAAACAAUGCUGGAUUGGAAAAAGUCAGAAAACUCUAGAGAAGACUGCAUUUGUGCUCUCUGUGGUCUUCCUGCUGUAAUGUUCCAGGCCAGGAUUGGUUCUUCUGGGUAUAAGUCAUGAGGGGAUUCAACCUGCACCUGGAAAGAAGGUAUCAAGCUAGGGAUGGGGAGAAAUUACCCAGGGCAAUCCAGUGCUGGGGAUUACACAAUGAAAAGUCCCUUAGACAGCAGUGUGGUGGAUACUUCCACCAACAUUCAUUCAGUAAAUAUCUUCUGGUGACCUGGUAUGGAUCUUUUAAUUCUGAGGCAAUCACAGAGAUGGCAGGUCACCAGUAGUUUCUAACUGAAGGUGGUAGUAACUGGCAAUGCAUUGCUUUAGGACUGUAGGCAUUACAGCUAUUUUUUUCAAUAUGAACUUUAUAAUGUAGAACUAAGACCCCAGAAAAACCUCAUAGAUAUAAAAUUUUCCUCUCUAGCUAUUGAUGUCAUUUUAUUUACUUAUUUAUUUUUGUUUGGUUUGAUUUGGUUAUGGGUUAGCAAUCUGAAAGCAGUUACCAUUACUAAUUCUAAAAAUGGAUUCAAAAUAGGAACACUUCCAAAUUAGAAGCAUUUUUUUAAAAGGAGUCUGAAUUCAAAAGUCUGACUUUAUCUUUAUCAAAUGCUUUUGGCAAUGUUGAAGAAAUCUUCUGGGAGAAAUGUAAUAAACAUUUCUUGGAGGGACAGCAUAGAGUGCAAACAUCUCAAACGUGAUUCACUUGCAUUUUCUGAACAAUGCUUUUGCCUACUCUGAGCUGUUGGUUCCAGUAUUUGGAGUUCUCAUGACAGAAAUCCAAAACCACUUCUAGAUUCUUCUCCUCCAUGACCACCCUAAUGUUAUUCAUGCACUUGCUUUGCACAAACACCUCUUUCUGUGAUAAAACCUGGAACCUGAAAUCAAUGAAUACAGACAACACAAUAGCACUUGAACUUCUGACUUUAUUAUUUUUCUUCAAAUGAACAGGUGAUAAAACACUGUGUCCAAAGCAAAAUGCAUGACUCCCUUUUCUCUUCUUUCACAGAGUACCAGAAAAUGUAAACAAUAUUUAGCUUGAACUUCUGAGUCCUCAUCUUUUUUUUAACAGCCUUUAGAACAACAUUAAUUUGUUUGUUUAUACUAGCAUUUUACAACAUAAAAAAUAAAAUAAGCAAACUGUCUGAGGGGUUUAUAUAAGGUUUUCAGAUUCUGAUACAGGCUUGCAUCUGCAUCGUUUUUAGUCUGACAAAGAGAAACACUGCUUUAGGAAGUGGGUCAUGUGGGUGUAUAAGUGGUUCGUGGACAGGCCGGAUAAGCCGUGGUUCUGGUCAGAGUACCACUGAAACACAAAGAAAAAAGCUUGUUUUAUUCCUGCAGUCAUCAAAUGCAUUUAGCUUGGACUUUUUUGUGCUCUCAGGACCUGAUAAUCUUUCUAUUAUGGGGAAACUGUACCUAAGAACACUCAAAUAAGUAAAAUAGCUUACAUGUAAAUAUUUACAGCAGGAAGAGCUUUCGUUAACCUCCACUACUGUUUCACAUGCUUUAAACAUAUUUUAGAUCUCAGUGGCUGAGAUCUCGCAUCAUCCAGCAUCCUGGAAGAUCAGGAUCAGGCAUCAGAGUUGCCAGAAGUGAUGCACUGGGUCUGUUAAUUUUGCUUCUUUGGAGUCUGGUUUCUUCAUUUGAAAAACAAAGGGGUUGGAGUUGAUUUUCCCUAAGAUUCCUUGUAGCUCAAAAAUUCCAUGAGGCUUUCAGCCUGUGAAUCUAAUUCCUCUCUGUUGCAGAAAAUCCACAAUAUAAUGUAUUCAUAUAUAGCCAUAAACACCCUUUAUAGGAGUUAAAAAUAGCAUUUUUAAAAAGUGAAAGAUAGUAUUUUAACUUUAAACUUCACUCUUGGAGAGAUACCACUAAGAUUAUUGCUUUCACUGAAUAAAGGUAUCAGUGGUCACGAUGUAAUAAUAUAUAUUUACUAAGUUGAAUUUACUUUGGGGAUCACAAUAAAAAAGGUCAGAAAAAGCUCACCUCCCUCUUUGUAUAUUUUUAAAAAUUUGAUAUAUAAUAGUUGUGUAUCUUUUUGGGGGUACAGUGAUAUUUUGAUAGCUGAAUACAAUGUGUAAUGAUCAAAUCAAGAUAACUGAAAUACCCAUCACCUCAAACAAAUUUCCUUUUAUGUUGGGAAAAUUAUAAUUAUUCUCUUCCAGCUAUUUUGAAUUAUACAAUCAAUUAUCAUUGACCAUAAUUUCCCUACUGUACUUUCAAAUACUAGAACUUAUUUUUUUCUGUCUUUUGUACCCCUUAACCAACUUCUUCUUAUACCCCCUCCCCCAUUUCUUUCCCAGUCAGUACAUUUUUUAAAAACAAAUGUUGAAAAGAUGGGGGUCUCCUUUUCGGGGUUCUUGUUCAACUUAAGCAAUUGAGGGAGCAUUUGUGAGAGGAAAAGGUAGCUACCAAGAAUGCUGCCCCGCCCCCAACUUUGGCUUUCACUUUAUUUUCUUUUCUGGUUCAAUUUCUCAUUCCUCAAGCAACCUGGAUUUUACAUUUAGCUAAUUCAUUCAUUCACUCAGUAAGAAGCUGAGCAUCUGUGAUAAGCCAGGUGUAUGCCAGGGGAUGAGAAUACAUAGGUGAAAAGUUCUCUAACCACAAAUGGAGCCAUAUGAUUUCAGGGAGCCUUGGAGGUUUGUGAUGACAUUCUGCAACUGCUUCUUACUGAACAAACAGAAUCUUCUAGCUGUUUAAGGAUGCUCAGGUUUUGCAGGGACUCUAAGCAUAUAAUUGCACUUAUUCACAUAGGAUUUCAGAACUACUGGAUGUUUGAACUAGAAGAUCAUUUAAUCUUGUGAACUCCUUUAUUUUACAUGACUCAACUGGGAACACGAGAGGUGAUCUGGUUUGCCUCGGGUCCUUCAGUAGUUAAAGAAAGAUCCAAGAUUCAUUUGCUAAUGUUCUGCCUACUCUAUCCUGCAGCCUCUUUGUCAGAUUUUACUUUAAAAGUUAAAAAAAAUAAAAAUAUGAACCCCUCCUUUUAGCUUGAGGGUCUAAGGCCAUGAACAUGAGUAAAACAAAAUUAUGUACCAUUGCCUGGAAAUCCACUUGUGCAUUAACCAGAGCUUUAGCAAUCUGUGCUGAGUUUUGAAAGUGCACAUUAUCUGCAACAAAGAGAGAGAGAGUUAAAGUGCUGCUAAAUACCAGAAAGCAUAGAGUGACAAUGUACUGCCUGGAAAUGAACACCAACAAUUAUCUAGUCAUGCAUUUGACAUUGUCAGCAGUGAGUAAUCACACUCAGAUAUGGAAAUGUCCCUGACUCUUAGGUACUGACCCUGAGCAUAGGCAUAGGAGGAUGCUUAAUGUUUCUUAAACAAAGUGAUGCUGGCUCAGUAUUUUUAUGUGUAAGAGUCUUGCUUAAACCUCACCAUCUGCUGUUCCGUGGAUGAGAAGAUAGUCUACAUUUCUGAAAUAUUCUGCUCUUGCCAUCACAGUUGAAUUCU
rnacentral:lncRNA from 1 species